GAUGAACGCUGGCGGCGUGCCUAAUACAUGCAAGUCGAGCGAACAGACGAGGAGCUUGCUCCUCUGACGUUAGCGGCGGACGGGUGAGUAACACGUGGAUAACCUACCUAUAAGACUGGGAUAACUUCGGGAAACCGGAGCUAAUACCGGAUAACAUGUUGAACCGCAUGGUUCAACAGUGAAAGACGGUUUUGCUGUCACUUAUAGAUGGAUCAGCGUCGCAUUAGCUAGUUGGUAAGGUAACGGCUUACCAAGGCAACGAUGCGUAGCCGACCUGAGAGGGUGAUCGGCCACACUGGAACUGAGACACGGUCCAGACUCCUACGGGAGGCAGCAGUAGGGAAUCUUCCGCAAUGGGCGAAAGCCUGACGGAGCAACGCCGCGUGAGUGAAGAAGGUCUUCGGAUCGUAAAACUCUGUUAUUAGGGAAGAACAAAUGUGUAAGUAACUAUGCACGUCUUGACGGUACCUAAUCAGAAAGCCACGGCUAACUACGUG
rnacentral:rRNA from 1 species